ensembl:snRNA U2 U2 spliceosomal RNA
AGCCGUUCUAGGUAUUUUGGCUAAUAUCAACUGAAGGAUCUGUUUUUAUCGGUUUAAUAUCUGGGACAUCCUUUAUCCCAGGACAAUAUAUUAAGUUGAGUUUUGGAGCAGGGAGAAUGUUGAAAAUAAUAUGCACAUGCUUAAUGUUGACCAUUUGUUCCUGUUAAUCAGAUGUUCUGCCUAAAACUG